rnacentral:rRNA from 1 species
AUUGAACGCUGGCGGCAGGCCUAACACAUGCAAGUCGAGCGGAGCGGCGGACGGGUGAGUAAUGCCUAGGAAUCUGCCUGGUAGUGGGGGCUAACGUCCGGAAACGGGCGCUAAUACCGCAUACUAUCAGAUGAGCCUAGGUCGGAUUAGCUCGUUGGUGGGGUAAAGGCCUACCAAGGCCACGAUCCGUAACUGGGCUGAGAGGAUGAUCAGUCACACUGUAACUGCGACACGGUCCAGACUCCUACGGGAGGCAGCGGUGGGGAAUAUUGGACAAUGCGCGAAAGCCUGAUGCAGCCAUGCGGCGUGUGUGAAGAAGGUCUUCGGAUUGUAAAGCACUUUAAGUUUGGAGGCGUUACCAACAGAAUACGCACCGUCUAACUUCGUGCCAGCAGCCGCGGUAAUUC